GACGAACGCUGGCGGCGUGCUUAACACAUGCAAGUCGAACGGAAAGGCCCUGCUUUUGUGGGGUGCUCGAGUGGCGAACGGGUGAGUAACACGUGAGUAACCUGCCCUUGACUUUGGGAUAACUUCAGGAAACUGGGGCUAAUACCGGAUAGGAGCUCCUGCUGCAUGGUGGGGGUUGGAAAGUUUCGGCGGUUGGGGAUGGACUCGCGGCUUAUCAGCUUGUUGGUGGGGUAGUGGCUUACCAAGGCUUUGACGGGUAGCCGGCCUGAGAGGGUGACCGGCCACAUUGGGACUGAGAUGCGGCCCAGACUCCUACGGGAGGCAGCAGUGGGGAAUAUUGCACAAUGGGCGGAAGCCUGAUGCAGCAACGCCGCGUGCGGGAUGACGGCCUUCGGGUUGUAAACCGUUUUCGCCUGUGACGAAGCGUGAGUGACGGUAAUGGGUAAAGAAGCACCGGCUAACUACGUG
rnacentral:rRNA from 1 species